rnacentral:tRNA from 1 species
GCCUGGGUGGCUCAGUCGGGUGAGCGUCUGACUUUGGCUCAGGUCAUGAUCUCAUGUCUUGUGAGUUCGAGCCCCGCGUCGGGCU